UUACAUUCACUCGGCAUCAGAACCAAGAUGCUGGAGCAGAAAGUGAAGUUUCUAAAGGAACAGUGGAAGGUGAUGAGGAUGUCACAUACUCUGAGGUCAGAAGACCAGGAGGUAGAGCUAGAGAGCAGGAGGAUCCUGGGAAAGGAAGUGAACCUGGCACUAGUGACCCCUCUCCAUCAGAGGGGUCAAAAGCUGCAUUCCCUGAGGGAGGGUCUGGGAGCGUUCCCGUGGUGACCCUAGUGUGUCUCUGUGUUCUACUGC